ACCCACGGUUGGGGGUGCUUGCAACAGCAGGCUGAGAUCAUACCCUGAGAACCUGACCCGGAUAACACCGGCGUAGGGAAACCAGGCAGCAGUAAA
rnacentral:ncRNA from 2 species